GCCCCAGACUCCUACGGGAGGCAGCAGUGGGGGAUAUUGCACAAUGGGGGAAACCCUGAUGCAGCGACGCCGCGUGGGCGAAGAAGUAUUUCGGUAUGUAAAGCCCUAUCAGCAGGGAAGAAAAUGACGGUACCUGACUAAGAAGCCCCGGCUAACUACGUGCCAGCAGCCGCGGUAAUACGUAGGGGGCAAGCGUUAUCCGGAAUUACUGGGUGUAAAGGGAGCGCAGACGGCAGUGCAAGUCUGGAGUGAAAGCCCGUGGCUUAACUACGGGACUGCUCUGGAAACUGUGCAGCUAGAGUGCAGGAGAGGCAGGCGGAAUUCCUAGUGUAGCGGUGAAAUGCGUAGAUAUCAGGAGGAACGCCGGUGGCGAAGGCGGCCUGCUGGACUGCGACUGACGUUGAGGCCCGAAAGCGUGGGGAGCAAACAGGAUUAGAUACCCGAGUAU
rnacentral:rRNA from 1 species